UGUUCCUAAUAUGGAUGCUGUGCCAUUAGACAUUUGUGAAAAAAUACUGUAGGCUAUGCCGUGCAGUUCACAAAGUGGUAGCUCUCACUAAGCUGCUUGAUGCAUUUGUUGUGUUCUCUGGCCAUUUAAGCGUUCUUAUGAUCAAGUAUGCUUUUUAUGCGAUCGCAAGUAAUUAGCAAAAAAUACUUGGUUUAUUUUUAGUAUGCAAUAUACUGGGCCUAUGUUAUAUACAGAAUACUUUUUUCCAUAGGAAUCCCGAAGGUGAUUGGUGCGAUUAACCGUACGCAUCCUCAUUACGGAGGGUUAUGUUCAUUAAAUUCAUACAGGUAGCCCUGCAACCUCGGUGUUUUAUGGAGUAGAUCUUCAAUAAUUAACAGAGUAAUGGGUCGAUUUCUGAGAUGUAGCCCAUAACUAUCUUAAUUGUUUUCACAUGUUAAUAUACACUAUUUUACUUGUCCUUACAUCUCAAUCAUACUACAAAUAAAAGGAAAGAAGUCGGCGCAUGAGCCGUUGUGCAAAAACUCCGCUUGUGUUUCCCAACGCGCCCCUUUUAGGCGAACGCGCACAAACUCUAGAAGUUAUAACACCGAGUCAACAAACAUAAUCACCGUCGUAGAACCGUUUAACACCACAAUCAGAGUUUGUCAAUCCUGAAUUUCCUUGAUAUCCCCGAGUUAAAUCUGAGUAGGUUGAACACCCUUCAUAGUAUACCCCCAAGGUCGAGGAGGGUAUAUCCAUAGACAUAAUAAAGAGCAGACCCCGCAUUGGCUGCUGGGCGCGAGAAAUACGGCCGCCAUCUUGGACCGGUCGUACUCCUUGUUGCGUAGCAGCAGAAGCAACGGCGCCAGAGCACAGUGCAACAUAUUCCUGCUCAAAUCGGCGGACCAUCGAAAGCAGGGCUCGGUGGAUUACUUUUCACAAUGUUUUUCAGGUCCUAGAUGCUUCUAAAUGGUAUGUAUUACACAACAUCAACUUUAUGCAGGUGUCAGAAAGAUUGGUAUGUAUGUUGAUAUGAUGUUAUCUUGUUUAAAUGUUUUUCAAUAUGCAGUUUGGUUUCUGUUGGCAUUAUCUUGUAUUCAAUGUGUUUUUCAGGUCCUAGAUGUUUCUAAAUGGUAUGUAUUACACAACAUCAAGUACAUGUAGGUGUCAAAAGGGUAGGUAUUGCAUGUGUUGUUUUCAAGUUAUCCCAGUUCUGCAAUAACAUUGUUACAAGUUAAUGUUCCUUUGUGUACAAGUAUACUGUAUAAGUUAAACAAGAAACUGAUCCCAUUCCUAAAAACAUGGAUGCAAACUAAUUAUCUAUGUGCCCUGGUAGCUGUUAACCAUUUUCAUUCUCUGUGAGUUUGCACCCCUGUGAUAGGCACUUUACUGCUUUGUAUUAACAAAAUCACAUGGGGCUUUCUUGGGGUGUCUUUUCGCCAUGAUCAGAGUAAUAAAACUUUUUUCUUUUGCAGGUACUUGUCGGUCAGCGGAUUUGUCAUCAAUAACGAUGUGUGAUGCUGAUGAUUCCUGAACUGCUUGGAGCUCCUAUUUAAUUAAAUCAGAGCAUCAGGCGGCUGGAAUAACAAUCCAUCGGCACGCCAGUUCCAGGCCAUCUUCCGCCGGCUGAUGGUUCGGUGUGGUGUCUCACCUGGUGAGACAGGCAAUGUGGCAGCCCAGGAUAACACUGUGUCUCUGUCUGAUGUGGAGAUGUCCUCUCCUGAAACUGCGGAAGAGCACCCAUCUCCAUUCGCCAACAUUUGGCCCUUGUGUGUGACCACAGUUAUCUCCCCACUCGGUUUGGUGGUCUGGUGGCAAAUGCUCUGGUCUACAUAGCAGGGUGCUGAGAGCUGCAGAGGGGGUGAUUCACCAAUGCAAGCUCCUGUGGUGUCGACAGUCACACACAUUGUCCGGGAGGAGAUUGGAACGGAGGAUGUUUUUUGCUUGGGGAACACAUUGAGGAGACAGUUUGGCAUCGACAACCAUCAGUCUGACUUGUUGUCAUUGGUUGUGUCUGUGUUUAUCAAAAUAAGUCCCCCACCACAUUGCCAAACUCACCUCUUUUGAACUGCAGAAAGGGAGCACGAGGAAGAAGCUCUGCAAAACUGUCCUCUUACAGGGGUUUUAGAGCGUGUGGG